GAUGAACGCUGGCGGCGUGCCUAACACAUGCAAGUCGAACGAACAGACAAGGAGCUUUCCCUCUUUCCGUUAGCGGCGGGAGGGUGUGUAACACGUGGAUAACAUCCCUCUUUGACUGGGGUAACAUCGUGGGACAGGAGCGCUUACCGCGUAAUAUAUUUAACCGCAGGAUUCAGUAGAGAUGAACGGUUUUGCCGUCACUUAUAGAUGGAUCCGCGCCGGAUUAGCUAGUUGGUAAGGUAACGGCCUACCAAGGCAACGAUGCGUAGCCGACCUGAGAGGGUGACCGGCCACACUGGAACUGAGAACCGCUCCAGACUCCUACGGGAGGCAGCAGUAGGGAAUCUUCGGCAAUGGGCGAAAGCCUGACGGAGCAACGCCGCGUGGGUGAUGAAGGUCUUCGGAUCGUAAAACCCGGUUAUGGGGAAAGAACACCUGUGUAAGAAACUAUGGACGUCUUGACGGUACCUAAACAGAAAGCCACGGCUAACUACGUG
rnacentral:rRNA from 1 species